rnacentral:lncRNA from 1 species
AUAGUCGAUUGUGUCCGCUGAUAUCCGAGGUAAGUCUAUUAGCUAUUUAAUUUUAUUAAAUCAGCAUAUGAGUAUGUAUAUCAAUGGUAUUUGUGUUGAGUUAAAUUUAAAAGUAUAAAAUUGGAAUUGAAAGUAUGAAAUUAUGUAUACAUAUAUAUAUUAGAUUCGAAUGACUAUGAAUAUGCAAAUAUGCAUAUAAAUGUCCUUGUAAUAAAUUUAGGUAUGAACAUAUAUGUAUGAAUUAUAUUCGAA